rnacentral:rRNA from 1 species
UAAGACGAACCGUGCGAACGUUAUUCGGAAUCACUGGGCUUAAAGCGCGUGUAGGUGGGUUGCCACGUCGGAUGCUGAAAUCCCUCGGCUCAACCGAGGAACGGGCACCGAUACGAGCGACCUGGAGGGGGGUAGGGGGAGCUGGAACUUCCGGUGGAGCGGUGAAAUGCGUUGAGAUCGGAAGGAACGCCCGUGGCGAAAGCGAGCUCCUGGACCUUUUCUGACACUGAGACGCGAAAGCUAGGGGAGCGAACGGGAUUAGAUACCCCGGUAGUCCUAGCCGUAAACGAUGGGCACUGGGUAGGGGGCUCGCCGAUGGGCUCCCUGCCGCAGGGAAACCGUGAAGUGCCCCGCCUGGGGAGUAUGGUCGCAAGGCUG